rnacentral:tRNA from 1 species
AGUAUCACGCCGGAUGAACGGAAAUCAUUGAUGUUGAUUAAUAUGGGAUAAAGAUAUCUCUGAUGCUA